rnacentral:rRNA from 1 species
ACCUGGUUGAAUCCUGCCAGUAGUC